rnacentral:lncRNA from 1 species
UUGGGGUGCCCCUCUUUAGGGGAUCCCCAUGGUGGGGAAGGUGCCCCUGUGAGCCCUCCCUGUGCCCCAUCCCUGUCACUGAGCCUGUCCCUCUGUCCCCAGCCUGCCUUUUCCGCUACAAUGUGCUGUCCCUGGUGUACCUGCUCUUCCUGCUGCUCCUGCCCUGGUUCCCGGGGCCCUCCUCACGUUUUUCCACAGGUCACAGCAGCCGCAUCCUCAAGGCUCUGCUGGGGAUCAGCAUCCUCUUCCUCCUCGCCCACCUGGUUUUCCAGAUCUGCCUGUACACACUGCCCGUCCUGGACCAGCUGCUGGGGCCCAGCUGCAGCUCCUGGGAGGUCUUUGCUCGGCACAUUGGGGUCACCAGGUAAGGGCACCCUCCCCU